rnacentral:rRNA from 1 species
CGUGAAACCGUUCAGGGGUAAACCUGAGAAACCCAAAAGAUUAAAUGGGGAGAUUCAUCGUCAGCUCAUUUUGUAUAUAUAUAAUUUAUGAUGCGAGUUACUACUUGUAGUAUUGCUUGCACAUUUUUAUAUAUUUAUUUGCAAGAUAUUGUCGGCGUGCACUUCUCCCCUAAUAAGACGUCGCGACCCGUUGGGUGUCGGUCUACGGCCCAAGUGGAUAGUCUUUAAUAUUUAAUAAUAUUAAAGUCCCUUGGUGUUUUCUGACCGGUUACUCGGCGGUACACGUAAGGUAUUAAGCCGCAAUUAUAUGCGUCUAUUUCCGUCACAAGCGAGGCAAAUUUCUGAUAGUACGGACCAAGUGCCGUCGUUGGUAUUUGCCAGCUGUUGGUUGUUACGGUUUUCUAAGACUGGCUUAUAAUAAUUACCGGUCGGCGAUGCUACUGCUUUGGGUACUUUCAGGACCCGUCUUGAAACACGGACCAAGGAGUCUAACAUGUGCGCGAGUCAUUGGGAUUUUUUAUAAAUUAAACCUAAAGGCAUAAUGAAAGUAAAGGUCGUCCUUGCGUCGACUGAGGGAGGAUGAGCUGUGUUAUGAUACAGCUUCGCACUCCCGGGGCGUCUCAUUCUUAUUUUAAGAAGAGGCGCACUUAGAGCGUACACGUU